UACGAAGGGGGCUAGCGUUGCUCGGAAUUACUGGGCGUAAAGGGCGCGUAGGCGGGUCGUUAAGUUGGGGGUGAAAGCCCAGGGCUCAACCCUGGAAUUGCCUUCAAUACUGGCGACCUUGAGUAUGGCAGAGGUGUGUGGAACUCCGAGUGUAGAGGUGAAAUUCGUAGAUAUUCGGAAGAACACCAGUGGCGAAGGCGACACACUGGGCCAUUACUGACGCUGAGGCGGCGAA
rnacentral:rRNA from 1 species